AGAUUGAACGCUGGCGGCAGGCCUAACACAUGCAAGUCGAGCGGUAGAGAGGUGCUUGCAUCUCUUGAGAGCGGCGGACGGGUGAGUAAUGCCUAGGAAUCUGCCUAGUGGUGGGGGAUAACGUUCGGAAACGGACGCUAAUACCGCAUACGUCCUACGGGAGAAAGCGGGGGACCUUCGGGCCUCGCGCCAUUAGAUGAGCCUAGGUCGGAUUAGCUAGUUGGUGAGGUAAUGGCUCACCAAGGCGACGAUCCGUAACUGGUCUGAGAGGAUGAUCAGUCACACUGGAACUGAGACACGGUCCAGACUCCGUACGGGAGGCAGCAGGUGGGGAAUUAGUUGGACAAGUGGGG
rnacentral:rRNA from 1 species